rnacentral:rRNA from 1 species
AAAUUGAAGAGUUUGAUCAUGGCUCAGAUUGAACGCUGGCGGCAGGCCUAACACAUGCAAGUCGAACGGUAACAGGAAGCAGCUUGCUGUUUUGCUGACGAGUGGCGGACGGGUGAGUAAUGUCUGGGAAACUGCCUGAUGGAGGGGGAUAACUACUGGAAACGGUGGCUAAUACCGCAUAACGUCGCAAGACCAAAGAGGGGGACCUUCGGGCCUCUUGCCAUCAGAUGUGCCCAGAUGGGAUUAGCUUGUUGGUGAGGUAACGGCUCACCAAGGCGACGAUCCCUAGCUGGUCUGAGAGGAUGACCAGCCACACUGGAACUGAGACACGGUCCAGACUCCUACGGGAGGCAGCAGUGGGGAAUAUUGCACAAUGGGCGCAAGCCUGAUGCAGCCAUGCCGCGUGUAUGAAGAAGGCCUUCGGGUUGUAAAGUACUUUCAGCGGGGAGGAAGGUGUUGUGGUUAAUAACCGCAGCAAUUGACGUUACCCGCAGAAGAAGCACCGGCUAACUCCGUGCCAGCAGCCGCGGUAAUACGGAGGGUGCAAGCGUUAAUCGGAAUUACUGGGCGUAAAGCGCACGCAGGCGGUCUGUCAAGUCGGAUGUGAAAUCCCCGGGCUCAACCUGGGAACUGCAUUCGAAACUGGCAGGCUUGAGUCUUGUAGAGGGGGGUAGAAUUCCAGGUGUAGCGGUGAAAUGCGUAGAGAUCUGGAGGAAUACCGGUGGCGAAGGCGGCCCCCUGGACAAAGACUGACGCUCAGGUGCGAAAGCGUGGGGAGCAAACAGGAUUAGAUACCCUGGUAGUCCACGCCGUAAACGAUGUCUACUUGGAGGUUGUGCCCUUGAGGCGUGGCUUCCGGAGCUAACGCGUUAAGUAGACCGCCUGGGGAGUACGGCCGCAAGGUUAAAACUCAAAUGAAUUGACGGGGGCCCGCACAAGCGGUGGAGCAUGUGGUUUAAUUCGAUGCAACGCGAAGAACCUUACCUGGUCUUGACAUCCACGGAAGAAUUCAGAGAUGGAUUUGUGCCUUCGGGAACCGUGAGACAGGUGCUGCAUGGCUGUCGUCAGCUCGUGUU